UACGUAGGGUGCAAGCGUUAAUCGGAAUUACUGGGCGUAAAGCGUGCGCAGGCGGUUUUGUAAGUCUGAUGUGAAAUCCCCGGGCUCAACCUGGGAAUUGCAUUGGAGACUGCAAGGCUAGAAUCUGGCAGAGGGGGGUAGAAUUCCACGUGUAGCAGUGAAAUGCGUAGAGAUGUGGAGGAACACCGAUGGCGAAGGCAGCCCCCUGGGUCAAGAUUGACGCUCAUGC
rnacentral:rRNA from 1 species